rnacentral:rRNA from 1 species
AUUGAACGCUGGCGGCAUGCUUUACACAUGCAAGUCGAACGGCAGCGGGGGCUUCGGCCCGCCGGCGAGUGGCGAACGGGUGAGUAAUGCAUCGGAACGUGCCCAGUCGUGGGGGAUAACACAUCGAAAGAUGUGCUAAUACCGCAUACGUCCUGAGGGAGAAAGCGGGGGAUCUUCGGACCUCGCGCGAUUGGAGCGGCCGAUGUCGGAUUAGCUAGUUGGUGGGGUAAAAGCCCACCAAGGCGACGAUCCGUAGCGGGUCUGAGAGGAUGAUCCGCCACACUGGGACUGAGACACGGCCCAGACUCCUACGGGAGGCAGCAGUGGGGAAUUUUGGACAAUGGGCGCAAGCCUGAUCCAGCCAUGCCGCGUGAGUGAAGAAGGCCU